GACGAACGCUGGCGGCGUGCUUAACACAUGCAAGUCGAACGGGUCUGCCCUGUUUUUUGCGGGGUGGGUCAGUGGCGAACGGGUGAGUAACACGUGAGUAACCUGCCCCUCACUUCUGGAUAACCGCUUGAAAGGGUGGCUAAUACGGGGUGUUCUGGCUGUGCCGCAUGGUGUGGCUGGGAAAGAUUCACUUUUGUGGUGUUUUGGUGGGGGAUGGGCUCGCGGCCUAUCAGCUUGUUGGUGGGGUGAUGGCCUGCCAAGGCUUUGACGGGUAGCCGGCCUGAGAGGGUGGGCGGUCACACUGGGACUGAGAUACGGCCCAGACUCCUGCGGGAGGCAGCAGUGGGGGGUAUUGCACAAUGGGCGGAAGCCUGAUGCAGCGACCUCGCGUGAGGGAUGGAGGCCUGCGGGUUGUGAACCUCUUUCGCCGGUGAAGAAGGUCCUGCUCUUUGUGGUGGGGUUGACGGUAGCCGGGUUAUGAAGCGCCGGCUAACUACGUG
rnacentral:rRNA from 1 species